rnacentral:rRNA from 1 species
AGACCCGAAACCCGGUGAUCUAGCCAUGGGCAGGUUGAAGGUUGGGUAACACUAACUGGAGGACCGAACCGACUAAUGUUGAAAAAUUAGCGGAUGACCUGUGGCUGGGGGUGAAAGGCCAAUCAAACCGGGAGAUAGCUGGUUCUCCCCGAAAGCUAUUUAGGUAGCGCCUCGUGAAUUCAUCUCCGGGGGUAGAGCACUGUUUCGGCCAGGGGGCCAUCCCGGCUUACCAACCCGAUGCAAACUGCGAAUACCGGAGAAUGUUAUCACGGGAGACACACGGCGGGUGCUAACGUCCGUCGUGAAGAGGGAAACAACCCAGACCGCCAGCUAAGGUCCCAAAGUCAUGGUUAAGUGGGAAACGAUGUGGGAAGGCCCAGACAGCCAGGAUGUUGGCUUAGAAGCAGCCAUCAUUUAAAGAAAGCGUAAUAGCUCACUGGUCGAGUCGGCCUGCGCGGAAGAUGUAACGGGGCUAAACCAUGCACCGAAGCUGCGGCAGCGACGCUGAUGCGUUGUUGGGUAGGGGAGCGUUCUGUAAGCCUGUGAAGGUGUGUCGUGAGGCAUGCUGGAGGUAUCAGAAGUGCGAAUGCUGACAUAAGUAACGAUAAAGCGGGUGAAAAGCCCGCUCGCCGGAAGACCAAGGGUUCCUGUCCAACGUUAAUCGGGGCAGGGUGAGUCGACCCCUAAGGCGAGGCCGAAAGGCGUAGUCGAUGGGAAACGGGUUAAUAUUCCCGUACUUGGUGUUACUGCGAAGGGGGGACGGAGAAGGCUAUGUUGGCCGGGCGACGGUUGUCCCGGUUUAAGCGUGUAGGCUGGUUUUCCAGGCAAAUCCGGAAAAUCAAGGCUGAGGCGUGACGA